rnacentral:rRNA from 1 species
UGAGUUUGAUCCUGGCUCAGAAUAAAUGCUAAUAGUAUGCUUAACACAUGCAAGUCCAAUGUUUAGAAAUAGAUAUGGCGAACGGGUGAGUAUCACCUAGGUUAUCUACCUUUUAAUAUGGCAUAAAAUACCGUAUAAUACAUAAAGAUUACAAAUCGUUAAAAGAUGAGCCUUGGUAGGAUUAGGUAGUUGGUUUUGUAAUGGAAAACCAAGCCAUGGAUCCUUAGCUGGUUUGAAAGAAUGAUCAGCCACAUUGGGACUGAGACACGGCCCAAACUUUUUUAAGUCAGCAGUGGGGAAUUUUGGACAAUGGGCGGAAGCUUGAUCCAGCAAUACUAUGUGAGUCAUGAAGGCUAUUUGGUUGUAAAACUCUUUCAUUAGACAUGAAAAAAGACAGUAUCUAAAGAAGAAGUUCCGGCUAACUCCGUGCCAGCAGCCGCGGUAAUACGGGGGGAACAAGCAUUAUUCGGAAUGAUUUGGCGUAAAAAGUUUGUAGAUUGUUUUCAAAGUUGAAAAAGAAAAAAUAAAGCUUAACUUUAUAACAUUUUUCAAAACUUUUAAACUUGAGUGUAAAUAGGAGAUAAUGGAAUUUCUAUUGGAGGGAUAAAAUACUAUAAUAAUAGAAGGAAGGCCACGGGCGAAGGCUAUUAUCUAGGUAUACACUGACAUUGAGAAACGAAAGCUUGGGUAGCGAACGGGAUUAGAUACCCCGGUAGUCCUUGCUGUAAACGAUGAGUGUUCGUAUUUAGAGAUAAUUUUAGGUACUAAGCUAACGCGUUAAACACUCUGCCUGAAAAGUACGACCGCAAGGUUAAAACUCAAAGGAAUUGACGGGAGCUUAUACAAGCGGUGGAGCAUGUGGUUUAAUUCGAUAUUACGCGCAGAACCUUACCAGUUCUUGAAAAUUAUAGCGAGGGAAUGUAAAUUCCUCUUUCUAUAACAGGUGUUGCAUGGCUGUCGUCAGCUCGUGUUGUGAAAUGUUUGGUUAAAUCCCUUAACGGGCGCAACCCCUUUUAUUAGUUGCUACCUUUGUUAAUGAAUCGAUUAGAAUCCUCGUGCGUUAUACGUUUUGUGGAAUAGGCGUGUUCUCUUCAAGGGGACACGGGCGACCCCCGCAUGGCGUUGAUCGUACUUGUCUAAUAAAAAACCGUUCUGUAGUGAUAAUUAACAAAGAGGACUUUAAUAAGACAGUUUAAUAAAAAUUUAAAGGAAGGUGGGGAUGAAGUCAAGUCUUCAUGACCCUUAUGAACUGGGCUACACACGUGCUACAAUGGUAAUAACAAUAAGAGGCAAUAGUGUUAAAGCUGGAGCAAAUCUAAUAAAAAUUAUCUUAGUUCGGAUUGUGGGCUGAAACUCGCCCACAUGAAGUUGGAAUCGCUAGUAAUCGCAAAACAGCAUGUUGCGGUGAAUAUGUUCCUGGGCUUUGUACACACCGCCCGUCACAUCUCGGGAAUUGGUUUUUUCUUAAAUUAAUUCAUUUAAGUUAAAAGGGUGGUUUUAUUAAAAUUU